rnacentral:rRNA from 1 species
UACAGGGGGGGCAAGCGUUGUUCGGAAUUACUGGGCGUAAAGGGCCAGUAGGCGGCCAACUAAGUCACACGUGAAAUCCCCAGGCUUAACCUGGGAACUGCGUGUGAUACUGGAUGGCUUGAAUUCGGGAGAGGGAUGCAGAAUUCCAGGUGUAGCGGUGAAAUGCGUAGAUAUCUGGAGGGAUACCGGUGGCGAAGGCGGCAUCCUGGACCGACAUUGACGCUGAACGGCGAAAGCUAGGGGAGCAAACGGG